GAGUGUUGCACUCUAUGCUGGUCCUGCACACCAUCGGUCUCAGAAGAUGCUGACUUGGAAACGAGCCUUACGUGAUCUUCAGCUGCUGCAGAGGGUUUCAGGGUAGCCCUGCUGGCCUCAAAUUUGCUGUACAGUAGAGACUGACCUUGCAUUUCCAAUUCCCCUCCCUCUACUCUCCAAAUGCUGUGAUUACAAGUGUGUGGCACUACACCUGUCCUUCCACUGUAAAGCUUUUGGCAGAACCUAAACACUUGUUUGUUGAGAUGGAAUCUUAUAGUCCAGGCUGGUUUAAAGCUCUUGAUCUUCCCACCUUAGCCUCCUGGUGCUGGGAUUUGUUAUAGAUUUGUGCCACCCCUGACCCCUGACAACACACAUAAAACUGAUCUUUAUAGCCAUGCCUGCUGACAUACAACUGCAAUGCCAGUUACCCAGGAGGUGUGAAAGGGUAGAUGGGACAAUAGAUCAGUGGUAGGAAGUUUGCCUAAUAUGCAUCGAGGCCCUGGGGUUCAUCCCAGGACUGUAGCACUGUACUACCACCACCUAAACAAACAAACAAACAAACAUACAAACAAACACUUCUCUGGAACUUAGGUUUAGACAUUUAGUAUCGUCAGUAUGUCUGGGCCUGGCUUUGGGGUGGAACCCACAUCCUGAGUUGAACCCGUAGACCAUGAACAGGUUUCUGAACUACUUGAGCAUGAACUUUUGCAUGACUGGCCAUGUGAGCCUUCAGAUGGCAUUUGGUGACUGAAUUGAGAUAGUAGAGGACAAAUUUGGGAGGUUACAGUUGUCAGCAUUUUAGAUAGUUGCAUGGCAUCCCGUGGAAAAUGCAACAGCAAGAACCAAAUACCACAGGCAUGUGCACCACUUCUCCAGCCUCUUCUACUUCACGCUUCUGUCAUCUGGGAUGAAAACUUAAGCACAGGUCUUAUAAAAAUAGCUCACUUGUCCCAAUCUCCUGCUAUAUAUACACUAGACUUGGUCAAACCACAUCCUGUACGCAGCCUUUGGCUCACUGAACAGCGCUCGUAUGCCAUGCAUGAGCUACUGCGUGUCCAGAUGGAAAUAGCACACCCGGACUCAUAGUAAAGACAUUUAUUUUUAGGUGUUAUGAGUGAUAUAUUAGAAUCACACAGAAAGAAAGCUAGACUGGAGGAGAGCAAAGUGCACAACUGAGAUCCCAGCCAUUUUCUAUCUACACUACUACACGUGCUGCCUCUCAUCCUUGGACCACAGUGGUUCAAGGGAUGCUUUCAGGUGGCUUGCUAACGUUAGUUACAUUAGCUCUUGUAAUGUUCCUGCUACAGUCUCCACUUUUUUCUUUCUCUUCCUUCCUUCCUCCCUCCCUUCCUUCCUUCCUUUCUUUUUUAACACAGGGUCUCUCUCUAUAGCCUAGGUUGGCCUUGAAGUCAUUAUGGAGACCAGACCGUCUAAGAAGUCAUGAUCCUCCAGCCUGAAUAUCCCAAGCGUUAGGAUUAUAGAUAUGCACCACUGAGCCUGGUUCAGGGUUUGGCUGUUACAUACUUCCAGAAGAGCUUAGGUAUCAGUUUAGGUAGGGAUCCAUGUCCGUGCUUGGCGGUUCCUAAAGUGUGAACAAGCUACUUCUUACCUCUUAUCCCUCAGGGCUAUUGUGGGAUAUUUGCCAGAGAACACUGCUCAGGCACGGGUUUAAGCCAAUAGAAAGUCUUCAUUGGCCAGCCAGUGACUACACUGGGUGUUGGGGAUCCCUUUGUAGCAUUAAGUCCUUCUCAGGGUGAGCUUUUAAAGCACCAAAAUAAACAAACAAACAAACAAACAAACAAACCUAUGUUCUGACAUAUUUCAGUUAACAGGAACAGUUAGCCAGAGCAAAACUACAGAAGCCAUAAAGCAAGGUUAGUACAGUUUGAGACUUUCCCAGAACUGUGGUCUUUGAUGGGUUAGGUCUUUGUUGUAGUUUUGGCAGGUGCUGUCAUCUACGGGCUGGGUUUUGUAGCCUGAACGGCACUUCCACCAUGGAGUCAGUUGUGUGGGUUCCUGUAACCAGGCAACAUGGAGUUAAAGCACACAGAGGUUUCCUGUGGACCUGUUGUGGAGGUUAGAACUCUUUGUAAUGUAGCACAUUGGACUUUAAGGCACAGUAGAUUAAUAUGAUAUCAUCUACGCAUAUGCUAUUUGUGCCCCUGGCCUGGUGUAAUUGGCUUGAAGUGAGUCACAGAUGUGCAGAAUCUCUCCGAGGGCAGCUCCAGCAGAGGACAGUCCAGCCAGGCGUGGUUCCAGCCGAUGAAGAGGAAAUGGGACUGCCUGUCUGUAGGGCCGUGCUGCUCCCACCUGUCCAGAGCUUGAAAGCGUGUCCCUUUCCUACAGCUGUGGGAGCUGAAGCCUGGAGAGGUCAAGGGUCACAGCUCUUCAGAAGACAAAGCUAAUUCACUCCCAUCCCCAGUUCUCCAAGCCUGGGCUGUAACCUCGCUGCUUCUCAAGUCUGUCAGCUGCCAGUUCUAAGGCGCGGCGAAUUGCUCCCUCUAAACAUUGUGGGUGUUCUCAAAAAUAACCUGCCAGCAGCGCAGAGACUGGUGUGUGCUGCCUGUACAGACGUUGACCUUCAUUUCUGUCUGGCUUCACCUUGGUUGGCAUGGAAGUCUUAGAUUGGUGAAGAUUAAACAGAAAAUCCAGGAAGAAGCUCGUGUCAAGGAAAGCACCUCAUUUAUUCGCCCUUUCUGGCUUUUCCCAGGCCUAGAAGACCUUGAUGCUGGUGCAAAGCUUUGCAUAUUAGCAGCAAAGACACUGGAGGAUGUGUUAAUUUAACUACCCAACUGGCAGCUGCUGGACUUCUCUUGCUACCUUGGCUGUCCCUGGACAAAACAACUGUCAAGCAGUCCACUGAGUUACCCUGAAGCUGAUGCUCAUGCUGUUCUCCAUAGAUCUCUUGAGAAAAAACUACAAUUGCAGCUGGUUGCUUUGGCUCCCGGAAGUGACACUUCGGGACUUCAGGCCUGGUUCACUUUAUACCAACUUUUUUUUUUUUUUUCAAUGACAAGCCUCAGUGAGCUCUAGAUGGCCCUGCAGCCGUCCCCACUCAGGUGAGAGGUGAAGCACCUUCGGGGUAGACCAACUGAAGCACUGAUGAGACUGGAACUCAAGGAAGGGCUGUGCUGAUUGGUACAAAUGUAACCUUCAUUUGCAUGGGAAGUUCCUUGUGCUUGGUGGAAACCACUUCUCUGGCUCUAGAAACAGGCGGUUGAGUACACUUGAAUCAGCCGGGAGAUUCCUCACCCCCAACCAAUAUUGUCUUUCCUGAUGUUAGAAAAAAGUGCCUAAAAAGGGCUUCUUUUGGGUGGUCCUUUCUUGUCCAGUUGUAGAAGUGUGGGCUGAGCCCGGAACAGGAUAAAAAUUAGCAGAGAGCAGAGUGACCGUGAUGCAGAGAUGGCAACAAAGCAGCAGAAGCAGAAAUGGUUGAACAACCUCUUGGCAAGCCAAGCUGCGAAGAGCAGCAAGGGCGGCCCACUGCUUGACUGCUUUAGAACAGAGGCUGAGCAGUUUAAGAGAACGACUUGGGCUGGAGCAAAGGGGAUGGCGGAGGCAGAGAGAGGAUUCAGAACUGAAGAAGAAGGAAGACCAUUAAGAGUCAGCAAAGAGAAACUGCAGGUUCUGGUCUCCGGAGGAGUUUCAGAGAGUUCUCAAACCUUUAGGGCAAAGGGCUUCAGAUUCUCCAAACCCAGGAACUGUGACAGUGGCCAGUCAAAACCCAAGGAAUCGUGCAAUGUCUGCCUCUGCCAAGUGCCAAGGAGGUCCAUUCUCGUCUUGCACAAAUAGCUGUAACAUGGAAGUUGGGCUCUCCCUAUGGGAGCCCUGCUGGACUGUUCUAGAGGACACUGCCUGCUGCGGCAUCCUACCCCUGGUGCUGGUUCCCUACUGUCAAACCCACAGGGAUGUGACAAAUGUCGAAGACCAGCACUUGAAGAGUAUCUUGCCUAUGCACAAUCUUGGUAGAGGAAAGUUUGGAAUCCCACUAAGCUGAUAGGUAAUGAGGGCCUUUAAAAUUCUUCUUCAGGGCAUCUUAUGAUGGGAAACCUGGUUGAAAUCGAAUAUUAAAGCUUCUC
ensembl:lincRNA